AAAAAUGGAUAGAUUUAAACAAGAAACUAACAUGCUCUGAUGAAAGACGAACUACAGACUCGAAGAACGACUAACCUUGCGCAAAGAAAAUACAGACUCCAAGACAAACUGACAGACUUUAAGGAAAAUACAAUCUCAAGAAAUCACGAAUACAUUAUGGCUUCAAUUGCUCCUGGGACCCGCGAGGCAUCGUUCGGCCUUGCUGAAGGCUUGCAUGCUAAAUCCCCUUUGAGGUAAUGGAGGUCUUCCAUUACUUGACGAAAGGUCAUAGGGGUGGCAAAGAACAUGGAUCUUGUUAUAUCAUCGCAGUGGAUGAACUUUGAGGUGAUGUAGUCUGCGAUCAUCCGUACUCUUUCCCUUAUAGCACCCUUUUCUUGCAAUAGUCGCCCAAUUUUCUCGGCCCUUGCCUACAGAGUUCGUUCGGCUACUCGAUUCAGUUCUUGGAAUUGCCGCAAAUCUAUCUCCAACUGUGCUAUUGUUGCACAACAAUGUUCUCUCUCCGAUUUGAAGUCUCUGGCUUGCUUGGCCCCUAUGUUUUAAACCAUGAUGACCUUCCUUUUCAAUCCAACAACCUCAUCGUCAUGCCUUUCCUUUAAUUUCUCAAUCACGCGGGCUCGUUUCUCUGCGUUUUUGGCCAAUUAUUUUUGAGCCCUGGAUAGCUCAACUUCUGCUUUAUUCAAGUCAAACCCAUAUUCUGUUACUCUUCACCUUAAAUUAUCUGUGAGCGUUUCAUCCAUUGCACUUCUAAGGGGAUUUUCCGCGGCUGUUUUCAUUUUCUGGAUUUGGGAUCGCAACGCUUCCUUUUUCUUUUGUUAAUCUUUUCUUUUUCCCCUCAUCUGCAGCAGCUUGCAAACCAUUUUCAAAUUGAAGGUCUUUAACUUGCUUUUCGAAUUUUCCUAUCGUGGCCCUGUACUCAUUUUCCGUGUCUAGCCAGUUCCAUUGUUCUUGUGACGUUUCAACAAAUUCUUGGGGGUGUGGCCUAUUAGCUGGUCUUCCAGACUCUAUUUAAUUCUUGUACCAAGCAAGGUACCCUGGUGCAACCUCGCCUUUAGAUAUGUUGUGUACUCGAGUGCCUGUCGUCAAGUACUGACAUUCGCUCCAAAUUUGACGAACAACGACUUCGAGAAAUUGACCAUUGGGACUAAUCUCGACCACGUGGAAACUAAUAUCCUCGUCCCUAGGAAUCAUUUUGCACCUCCCUAAUUGUCUUAGCACUCUGUACGGAGCAUAGGAUUGGAUAAUUUGGAGACCCAACAGAAGGAAAUAAGGUCCGGUGGCUGGCAUAUACACGAUUUCAUCCACGGGGAGCCACCCGAACAUCCAUUCUAUUUGGUUUGUAGUGAAGGACCGGAGACGUGACACCCAUUCUGUAGCACCCUCGGGUAAUCUCAACCCAUC
rnacentral:lncRNA from 1 species